UACGGAGGGUGCAAGCGUUGUUCGGAAUUACUGGGCGUAAAGGGCGCGUAGGCGGGUUCGCAAGUCGAUUGUGAAAGCCCCGGGCUUAACCUGGGAUGUGCAGUCGAUACUGUGAAUCUUGAAUGCUUGAGGGGAUGGCGGAAUUCCUGGUGUAGGAGUGAAAUCCGUAGAUAUCAGGAAGAACACCUGAGGCGAAGGCGGCUAUCUGGCGAUGCAUUGACGCUGAGGCGCGAAAGCGUGGGGAGCAAACAGG
rnacentral:misc_RNA from 1 species